UGAAAUAAUAAAACAUCAGAUAAUUAUAAUUAUCAUCAUGUCUUACUAUUAUCAUUUAUGACAAGAUUAUAUAUUCAUGGAAAUAACAUUAUUGAACAUAGCAACUGCAUCUUUGGUAUGCAUGUGUAUCUCAUGGAGCUGCACAUUUUCAGUGGUGAAAGGUCAAGGUCAUCCUUCAAGGUCAACAGUCAAAUAAAUUGGUCAAAAUCCUCCAAACUUUAACAUUGGACAUUACUCUUGCAAUAUUGAAGAUAGCAACUUGAUAAUUGGCAUGCAUGUGUUUCUUAUGUAGCUCUACAUUUUGAGUGGCAAAAGGUAAAGUUCAUCCUUCAAGGUCAAAUAUAUGGGUCAAAAUCAUAACUUGGGCAAUAUUGAAGAUAGCAACUUGAUAUGUUGCAUGCAUGUGUAUCUCAUGGAUCUGCACAUUUUGAAAAGUGAAAGGUCAAGGUCAUCCUUCAAGGUCAAAAGGUCAAUUAUAUGGGUCAAAAUAUGCACCAUGUAAUGCGCUUUAGAAAAAAAUCGUAUAUCCCCUAUUACGAAAACCACACGCCUUUGUCCUAUUUACAUAUGCUCAGAUGCGCCAAGUUCCCCGGGAAGACUGGAAAUACACUCGGAGCUGAGUGGGGAGGAGUUAAUGGACACCUCAUGCAUGGCCGUGCUGGACUCCGCCACCACCAUGAGAACAUCCGUGAUGCGUGAUACUCAAGCUUGAGCAGCUUCUUUCUUUGGGGAGAAGAUUGCACGUCUCAGAGAGGAGAAUGCCGCAUUGAAAGAAAAGAAAGAUGAACUGGAGACCAGGAGUGCCAAAUUUGAGAAACUUCAGCACAGCUUUAUGAUAUUCAGAGGCAGUUGACGAGUAGUGAAGAGCGUUCCAAUCAGCUAGCUGAGGAGAAUAAGCAGCUGGAGUUACAGGUCGCAGAAAUGAUGAAAAAUACGAGUGACAACUCUUACCAGCUCUCAAUGUUAAAUGAACAGCUAAGCCAGAAGACUAGAAAACUCGAGGAGCUACAGGGCGACUUUUUGACUUCGACUCAAAAGUGGCACAGCCUCAAUGACCAGCAUGAGACCACCAUGCGGGCCAAGGAGAAACAGGUUACUGAGUUGAAUGCUGCAAUUAGCCAGAUAAAUUCAGAGGCGAGAAAAGGGAUGAAAAGCAUAUUGGCGAUUUUUCAGAUCAAAAAACAAUAUGAGGAUGCACAGAAGGAUUUAGAAAAAUAAACACACAGAUUUUGCAUCAAUCGUCAAGGCAACAUCAAGACCCGUCAGAACCUCGACUAUGAAGAACUGCCCAAAAAGUACCGACUGAACGUCACUGUGACAGAGCUCGAGACCAAACUGUCCUCCACAGCACAGGUGGGCACCCAUCGUUUAUGAGGAUUUACAGAAUACUAAUCACGUACCAAAUGGAAAUUAUCGCGCAUCAUAUGGAAAUUAUCGCGCAUCAUAUGGAUAUUAUCAUGCAUCAUAUGGAAAUUAUCAUGCAUCAUAUGGAAAUUAUCAUGCAUCAUAUGGAAAUUAUCGCGCAUCAUAUGGAAAUUAUCGCGCAUCAUAUGGAAAUUAUCGCGCAUCAUAUGAAAAUUAUCAUGCAUCAUAUGGAAAUUAUCAUGCAUCAUAUGGAAAUUAUCAUGCAUCAUAUGGAAAUUAUCAUGCAUCAUAUGGAAAUUAUCGCGCAUCAUAUGGAAAUUAUCAUGCAUCAUAUGGAAAUUAUCAUGCACCAAAUGGAAAUGAUUAUGCACAUAUCAGAAAAUAUACAGAAAAGAAAUUGUAAUGAACUAAAUGGAGAUUAACACUUCAUUAAAUGGAAAUUAUCAUGCACUUAAUGGAAAUAACCAUGUACUAAAUGGCAAUUACAUUGCAAUAAAUGGACUGUAUAAUGUGCUAAAUGUAAAUUAUAAUGCACUAAAUGGAAAUUUUCACGUACCAUAUGGAAAUUCUAAUGCACUUAAUUAAAACAAAUAAAUUGUUUUUCUUCAUUAAAAUUUUUGCUUGAAAUGUAAGAUAUCAUAAUUCAAGUUAUAAAUGCUCUUAUUCAUACCACAAUUUCGGAAAAGAUGCAAAACACUGUCUAGACUGAAUAAAAUUGCCAAUGACAGCAUUUGUGAUUUAUUUUUGUCUGUCAUGUAUUAUGAACAUUUACAUAAUUAAUACUUUUAGUGGCAUCAUUUAUUUACGUUAUUUCCCAAUCUCAGCAACUAAUGACCGAAACUCAUUGAACCUUUAUGGGAAGCUUCACUACCAAGAGGAGAUUUUCAUAUUAUCAGCCAGUUCUGGUCUGAUAAUUUUUCACAGAGUUAUGGCCCUUUUAAAUUUUCCAUUGUACAUAUAGUGCAAUUCUUGUUCUGGCUAUUUCUCAGCAACUUAUUACAGGAAUUCAAUGAAACUUAAUGGGAAGCUUCACUACCAACAGGAGAUGCGCAUAUUAUCAGCCGGUUAUGGUCGGAUGAUUUUUCACAGAGUUGUGGCCCUUUGAAAUUUUCCAUUGUAUAUAUAGUGCAACUUUUCUCCGAGCUAUUUCUCAGUAAUUUAUUACGGGAAUUCAAUGAAACUUUAUGGGAACUUCACUACCAACAGGAGAUGUGCAUAUUAUCAGCCGAAUAUGGUCGGAUGAUUUUUAACAGAGUUAUGGCCCUUUGAAAUUUUCUAUAAACUGUACAUAUAGUGCAAUUCUUGUCCGGGCUAUUUCUCCCCAACUACUUACUGGAAUUCAGUAAAAAUUUAAUGAGAAGCUUAACUUCCUUGAGGAGAUGCGCAUGUUAUAAGUGGGUUCUGGUUAGAUGAUUUAGAGAGAGAGGAUUGGCCUUUGAAAUUUUUAAGUUGCUAAACCAUCCAUCGUAUUAUUUUGUCCAAAGUAAUGCCCCUCAAGACAUGUCCUUCUAUCUGAAUAUAUAGUGCAAUAUUGUGAUAAAAAUUUUUUGGGGGGAGCAUCACCGUCUCCGACAAUUUUUUGUUAGUUCAUCUUCUUUUAAUGAUGAGUAUGAUAUUGUUUUCCCUGGAAUUUUCAUAAGGAAUGUUUCCAAAAAUAAUUGAUUAUUGAAAACAAAUUGUAUAUCAUUGCUGUUUAGUUGUUCAAAAUUGUGUAUGUUAUAUACUGGGACACAAUAUUGUUUUUUUAAUAGUGUCUAUUAAGUUGUUAAUACAGUUUAAGUAAUCAAUAUCUUUUAAAAGUGAAUUAUUGAAUUUCCAUAGUCCCUUCCAUGUUCUACAUGAAACUAAUGAUCUGUGUGUUUGUUUUAAAAUACAUUUAUCUUCCUUAUUUCUUAAUUUUGUAUUGUUUAAUUUUUAUGCCCACCCUCCUUUUUUAAAAUGAAUAUAUUGUGUUUGGCCUGUUUGCCUGUCUGUCAUUCUGUCUGUCCAAAAUUUUAAGUAAUCUUAAAGUUUUGUCAUAACUUUUGAAAUAUUAUAGAUAGCAACUUCAUAUUUAGCAUGCAUGUGUUUCUCAUGGAGCCGUGCAUUUUGAGUGGUGAAAGGUCAAGGUCAUCCUUCAAGGUAAAAAACAAACAAACUGCGCAUUAGGGGGCAUUAUGUUUCUGACAAACACAUCUCUUGUUUCAAUUAGUUUCGAACUGUUUUUGUUAUUACUGUCUGUGUGUGCCCCUAUUCCACCUUUUGUCAAGCAUGCAAUGGCUCAACUGCUUGCCAGGGAGGCAUAUUAGUAUUUCCAUUUCAUUCCAUAAUAAGGGUUUGUGUUAAGGUACAUCUGUUUAUUGGUACCAUUUAUUAUUCCCAACUGUUUAUGUAAUAAUGGUGAAUUAAGCAACAAUGCCAUAGUUAUUUUUGUAUUUGUUUACUUGUUCCAGAUGUUUUGAAAAGUACAUUUGAAGGACGUAUGGUGUGCAUUGAUUUAAAUGUGAAAGUAAUCAACCUAUUGAAGAUGUUCCAUAAAAAGUUUUAAUCCCUUUGUAUCACCACAUUCAUGUUUUGGAUCCACACAAAAGCUCUCGUGCCAAUUUAAUAUAAAAUUUUAAACUAUGAAUAGUAGGUUAUUUGAGAUUUUAGUUUGGUAUUAUUGGUUGUCAAGUGUCAAAUCUUUAGUAUUUUACUUCUGGUUACUGUGCUUAUUGAACGUGUUUACAUUUACGCUUCCACAAUUAGUUACCUUGCAUAUUGAGAUAUGUAAAAUGUAUCCCAUGACAUUGUUGGUUAUUUUGUUGCCGACAAGUUUAGUUGGGCUUAAUACAUACUUCAACCUUUUCAUAUUUCUGUGGUGACAACAAUUUAAAAUAGUUUAAUGAUAACAUAACUGAUACAAAACUAUUGAUUAAGUGUUAUAUCCUGAUGACCCCUUAACUAUUGCAAUGGUUCUGUCGAUCUAGAGACAUACGUUUUCAAUUUUGCAUUUAAUGGCCAUGCAAAUAAGUCUAUGCAUAUAUCUGGGAACAACUGGUUGAUUUUAUUAAGCACUUUGUGAGAUAAGCCCCAUUCAAGAUCAUCAUUGCCUGAUCUACUUAACCCUUUGCAUGCUGGGAAAUUUGUCGUCUGCUAAAAUGUCGUCUGCAGAAUUUCUAAAAUUAGCAUUUUCUUCGAUUUUUUUUCAAAGAAUACUAUCAGAAUAGCAAACAGUUUGGAUCCAGAUGAGACGCCACGUUCUGUGGCGUCUCAUCUGGAUCCAAACUGUUUGCAAAGGCCUUUAAAAUUUGGUUUCGGCACUGAAAGGGUUAAUUUAUCUGCUGUAUGAUUUUUACGCCUGCUGAUGUGAUUAGCCGUUAUUAAAAUGUUUUUAUCCGUAGCCCACGUCCAAAUUUUUCUUGCCACAUAGUCUAGUGUUUUUAUUCUACCACCAUAUUUGUUGAUGUAAGCGACGCUUGUAGUAUUGUCCAUGAAUGCCUGGAUAUGGAUAUUUGACCUUUGUUUGUAAAGAGAUAACAGAUCAAGUUCACAUGCUUUCAAUUCUAAAACAUUCAUGUGUAACUUCUGUUUAUCAGCUGACCAAAACCCAUUAGUUUUGGAAUUAUCUGUCUUCACAAGCGCCCCACAUUUUAGAAAAUGAGUCGGUAUACAUUAUAGCGUCCACCUGCGGUAAUUGCAUUAGUUUUCUGCUGGAAGAAAUGCUCUGAAUCCACCAUUCUAAUGUAUUUUGUACUUGUUGUGACGGCAUAAAGAAACACUUGAAAUUUCCUUUGUGUGUCUUUAACAAGAGUUCUUUUUCUUUCUCGAGUGGUUUUAUGAAUAAUGGCGCGUGCUGGACACCUGGUCCCACCGCUACUAAUUUCCUGAUUAGCUUUGCAAAUUGAUGUAAUGUUACACGCUACUUAUUAAUGACGGAUUAACACAUGCUUAUGAAAUCCUUACAUUUCGAUGUAGUUUAUUGCACCGUCAUGGUAACGGAGCACAGUACCAAAACCAAAAACCUAAUUGUUCGAGUAGGUUCCAGAACUGACUUUUCUAUAGAAAUUGUAAAUCCUAGUUUCUUGGAGGUAUUCUUUAUGUAAGGUAUUGGGUAUUUUACAGGUUGUUCCAAUCAUGCUUGAGAGUUAAAAGAAAUACUAAAGACUUGAUGCACUUUUUUUUCUAAACAACACAUUAUUCCGAUGAUAAUCUUUUAAUCGGUGUAAUUUCAGGUAUAAACCUUGGUCAAUUUUUUAUCGGUUAUUUAACAAUAAAUUCACAUUGAAAUGUUAUACAACUAAAGCUGCCCAAACAAUGCUAUGUAGCAUGUUCAUGUUUUCCUUAAAUAAUGUAUCAUUUUUGUUUUCAAGCAGAAUUCUGCCAGCUACCACAAUAUCGCUUUUAAUGACGUCAUAUGAAAUAACGCCGACCAUAUUCAUAAUUGACAUGUUGUCUCGUUUAUAAUAAAUAUGUCCCCUCA